AUUGAACGCUGGCGGCACGCCUAACACAUGCAAGUCGAGCGGGGGAAGGUAGCUUGCUACCGGACCUAGCGGCGGACGGGCGAGUAAUGCUUAGGAAUCUGCCUAUUAGUGGGGGACAACAUCUCGAAAGGGAUGCUAAUACCGCAUACGUCCUACGGGAGAAAGCAGGGGAUCUUCGGGCCUCACACCAUCGGAUGUGCCCAGAUGGGAUUAGCUAGUAGGUGGGUAAUGGCUCACCUAGGCGACGAUCCCUAGCUGGUCUGAGAGGAUGACCAGCCACACUGGAACUGAGACACAGUCCAGACGCCUACGGGAGGCAGCAGUGGGGAAUAGUGCACAUGGGGCGCAAGCCUGAUGCAGCCAUGCCGCGUGUAUGAAGAAGGCCUUCGGGUUGUAAAGUACUUUCAGCGGGGAGGAAGGCGGUGAAGUUAAUAGCUUCACCGAUUGACGUUACCCGCAGAAGAAGCACCGGCUAACUCCGUGCCAGCCGCCGCCGUAA
rnacentral:rRNA from 1 species